GUGACCUGGCCAAGGACAUCUGCCUGUCCUCUGGCAGCAGAGGCUGGACAGGGACUGUGCUGGUGAAGUGGAGGUACCUCAUAUUUGAUGAAGUUCGCAGAAUCUUCCAGGUGCAUCUCCUCUCUCCUCAGUGGGUUGUCAUGAGUAGCCAGAGCCAGGCACCGCAGCGUGUCACUGCCACUGCCCCACUCCCGGAUGACAGACAUAAUCUUCUGUUUGACACCAGGAGUCAUGGGGACCUUGGUACUUCCAACUCGGAUGUGGGUGCACCUAUCGAUGACACCUUCAGGAGCACCCUGAGAAGGUCUCACUUUCUAUGCCAGGAUGGCCCUGAACUUCGUAGGCAUGUAACAGCACCGCCCAACCCAAGGAUAAAAAUGAGUUUGGGAAGAACAAACUGGAACAGACUCAAAAAGUUUGAAUGACCAGAAAUUCUCAUCAAAACCCUACUAUGCACUGGUGAGUGAAGAAAAAACAGAGCCUUCACCAUAAAGUCUAGGCUUCGAAAGACCUUCUGUUAAUAAAAACCACUAACUUGAGCCAGUCAGCCAUCUAGCAACAGGGCCUUCUGUAUGUAUCUAAGGAGAGCACACAUGCUUGAGAAGGUUCUCACGAAGGGCAGCUGGCUAUGAUCUUGUAACCUGACACAGAGUUCAUCAUUGUGGCACAUCCUGCUGUUUGUUUAUUCAGUGCUUUUGAGGAUCAAAGAAAAGCUUCGGGUAUAUUAGGCACACCUUAGAUCUACCACUAAGCCAUACCUCUGGUUAACAUCAAGAUUUUUCUAGAUCCAUCCAUCCCUCAUGAUGAUCUAAACAACCAGUCACUACAAUGACAGAGUCCAAGAUGAUGAAGCUUACUCACACUUCUCCAAUGGGUGCAUAUGUGGAUCCAGUUAUGGUAAACUCAUUAAGGGAACAAGUGUCACCUUCCACUUUGUCCAGAAUGAACAUCUAUAAGGAAAUGUAGUAGGGGAACUCAGAAGUCAGCAAAUAAUCAUUGUUUUAAAUGCUCAGAAUUCUAUAUCAAGUAGCUGAGAGAAUACCAAUCAUCACAUAGUUUUGCUUUAAAAACCGUCAUAGAAGAUCAGGAAGAAGAGACUCAUAGUUCAGAGUCAAAUACUCAAGUAAAGUAGGACAAGCUGCAACAGAAUACUUGGUGCACUCUUCCCACCCAGGCUCAGAGCAGUGUCUGUCAAUGCAGGAGCUGAUUCCUCUCCCAUUCCCCUGGUCUCUCUUUUGGAGACAGGGUUUCACUGUGUCUCUGGCCUAGACUCAGAGAUAUGUAUGCUUCUUCAACUCGGGUUUGAGAUUAAUAGUGUACAUCACUAAGUGUCUGUGUGAGUACACUCUGAUUUUAUAGAAAAUCAUAGGAAAAAUAGGCUUAAUCAAGAUUACACAAAUUACUAAGUUAAACAGCAAAGCCUGAGUUAAUCGCCAUCUUUUCUGUAAGUAAAUUUAACUUGACCUUUACUGAAAAUUUGACCCUCACACAUCACUUAAGAUUCUAUUUUUUUCAGCCUCAAAUAGGCACAUGCCAUAAUACCUAGCUUCUCAAUUCUUUUGUUUUCUUCCAUAAAUAUGAUAAUGUCUCAUUUAGCCCGGGCUAGCCUCAAACUCACUGUGUAGCCAAGGAUAAUCUUGACUUCCUGAUCUUGCUGCCUCACCUGCAGGACCUGUGAUUAAAUUGUGGGUCACUGUGCUUAGUUUUAGUUCUUACUGAGCACAUUAAAAGGUUUCUUAUUUUACUUCAAAUGACAUUCUAACAAGAGAAGAAAGCAAGGCUAACCUGACAGAAAAUGCCAACUUAUAAGCAAGUAUCUGCUUAUAUGUAUCAGGGAGAAAUCAUGUUUCGUUUAGUGUGCUAUGGAAAUAGCAACUGACUUCAGCAGGAGGUUAACUAGUUGUUUCCUCUGGAACACAUACAUCUAGAGACAGAGGAUGAAACCUCCAGUUACUUCUUUAAUAAAACUUUAUACGCUUUAUAGCUAUUCUGUAUUUCCCAAGACGGUUGGGAGUGACUAAUUUUUUUUUAACAUGUAUUUUUGUGUGUCGGGAAUACAUGCAGAGGUCAGAGGGUACCUUCAGGAGUUAGUUCUCUCCUUCCACCAAGGGGGAUCACCCACAGAUUGCAUGAAAGAAUCACAAAGGACAUUCCUUACUCACCCUGCAGACGGACAUCUGGUUUGUGGUAAGUGUGCCUGUCUUGUCUGAGCAGAUAACAGAAGUACAACCAAGGGUUUCCACAGAAGGCAGACUUCGAACAAUAGCAUUUUUCUUUGCCAUCCUGCGAGUUCCAAGAGCCAAGCAGGUGGUGAUGACAGCAGGCAGACCCUCAGGGAUGGCAGCAACAGCCAGGGCCACUGCGAUCUUAAAGUAGUAGAUGGCACCUCUGAUCCAAGAGCCACCAUGGACUGGGUCAUUGAAAUGCCCAAUGUUGAUGAUCCAGACUGCAAUGCAAAUGAGGGAGAUAACUUUGGAAAGCUGCUCCCCAAACUCAUCUAGCUUCUGCUGGAGGGGUGUUCGCUCCUGUUCUGUUGCCACCAUUUCAUCCCGGAUCUUGCCGAUUUCAGUAUUAACUCCAGUUGCCACCACCACUCCCAUGGCUUUCCCAGCAGCAAUGUUUGUACCCUGGGGAGAAGAGGAAACUGGUCAUAAGGUAACAGCACACCCCAACUUAAAUACUGACGUGUAUACUGACGGGAUUCCAUAAUACCUACUCACUCUGUGGGACAGGACAGCUCUCCACAACAUGGAACCUGGCCUGCAGACCUGCUCUGGCCUUAGCAGUACUCUGGUUUGUGGUAAUUUCAAAUUCUGUGCAGCUCUCAGGACUAAGUAGUCUUUUGUCUUUGUUUCUCGCUCCACUCUGUCACGUCUAAGGACGGGCAAUCAGCCCUGUUGGCUGUUUCAGAAUUUCUACUCCAGCACCAGUACUCUGGUCAGUGAAAUCAAUGUGAAAUGUGAGUGUUCUCACCCUACUCCACUUUACCGUCCAGUGCUGGAAUUCACAAUAGAAUGCUAUAUUUACUGCCAUGGGUAUACUCUCCUAUUAAUUAGCAAAGUCUGCCCCUUGAAAUACUAAGCUAGAUUGCAAAUAAUCAAAACAUAUGCAGUUCUAUACUACUUGGAAAAAUUUCAUUACCAACCGAAAAAAUAAAUACACGUGCACGUUCACCUAGGGUCACAUGGCAUGCCAUGCUUGCCCUUUCCAAACAGACUUCUUUUCCAUCACAGGCCACAAGCAGCAGCAAUGCCCAUACCGUGGGAAAAGCACCCUUUCUAGCUUGAUGAGUUUCCUGAGAAGGUUACUUCUCAACUGUUAUAAACAGAGUAGAACAUGUCUGCACUAAUCAUUUCACUAGCUGGCAGCUGAAACAACAAUCUUCAAGUCACACAGGCCACCGUUUUACACAGUCUCUAGUUGAGUCACUUGCUUUGUUACCAGUGUCUUCAGCACAGCACUGUUUUACCCCCAGCUGUGUUGGGGUUUUUGACAGCUCACACACACACUAAAGAAUAAUUAUCUUUGGAAUAAUUGCUUAUUUUCUGAAAUCUGGCCAUCAAGAGUGGCCAGUUCAAAAAAAAAAAAAA